GGGAGCUUGCUCCCUGAUGUUAGCGGCGGACGGGUGAGUAACACGUGGGUAACCUGCCUGUAAGACUGGGAUAACUCCGGGAAACCGGGGCUAAUACCGGAUGCUUGUUUGAACCGCAUGGUUCAAACAUAAAAGGUGGCUUCGGCUACCACUUACAGAUGGACCCGCGGCGCAUUAGCUAGUUGGUGAGGUAAUGGCUCACCAAGGCAACGAUGCGUAGCCGACCUGAGAGGGUGAUCGGCCACACUGGGACUGAGACACGGCCCAGACUCCUACGGGAGGCAGCAGUAGGGAAUCUUCCGCAAUGGACGAAAGUCUGACGGAGCAACGCCGCGUGAGUGAUGAAGGUUUUCGGAUCGUAAAGCUCUGUUGUUAGGGAAGAACAAGUACCGUUCGAAUAGGGCGGUACCUUGACGGUACCUAACCAGAAAGCCACGGCUAACUACGUGCCAGCAGCCGCGGUAAUACGUAGGUGGCAAGCGUUGUCCGGAAUUAUUGGGCGUAAAGGGCUCGCAGGCGGUUUCUUAAGUCUGAUGUGAAAGCCCCCGGCUCAACCGGGGAGGGUCAUUGGAAACUGGGGAACUUGAGUGCAGAAGAGGAGAGUGGAAUUCCACGUGUAGCGGUGAAAUGCGUAGAGAUGUGGAGGAACACCAGUGGCGAAGGCGACUCUCUGGUCUGUAACUGACGCUGAGGA
rnacentral:rRNA from 1 species